GUGAAGGAUGAAGGCCUUCGGGUUGUAAACUUCUGUUCUUAGGGAAGAAGAAAGUGGCGGUACCUAAGGAGAAAUCCCCGGCUAACUACGUGCCAGCAGCCGCGGUAAUACGUAGGGGGCAAGCGUUAUCCGGAAUUAUUGGGCGUAUAGAGUGCGUAGGUGGUUAUCUAACCGUAAG
rnacentral:rRNA from 1 species